UAUACGGUUCUCCUCAGCACUCAGGCUGCUGCUUCUGCUGGCUAUAAGGCGGUGGUUUGGCUUUUGUAGUAAUAAAAACUUUGAUUGACUGACUGCAAUUAUAGCGGUUUGAAGUUUGAGCUUAUAAGAAUUUAGAGUGAGAAAGAAGAGAGAGAGAGAGAAGCAUAUAGAUAGAUAGAGGGCAAAAGACUCGAUCUUUCAUGGGAAUAAGAGAAAGAGAAAAACACUCCUCCUCCUCCAUCUUAUGUCUUUCCGCUCAUCACAAGUUGUUGGUGGGUAAAAGUUCUUGUGUGUGGUUGAGAAAGAAAAUUUAACUUCUCCUUGUGAUAGAGUACACCACUAUAGCAAAAAAAAAAAAAAAAAAA